CAUGCAAGUCGAACGCUUGUAGCAAUACAAGAGUGGCAGACGGGUGCGGAACACGUGGGAACAUACCCUUUGGUUCGGAAUAACUCAGGGAAACUUGAGCUAAUACCGGAUAAGCCCUUUUGGGGAAAGAUUUAUCGCCGAAGGAUUGGCCCGCGUCCGAUUAGCUAGUUGGUGAGGUAAUGGCUCACCAAGGCGACGAUCGGUAGCUGGUCUGAGAGGAUGAUCAGCCACAUUGGGACUGAGACACGGCCCAAACUCCUACGGGAGGCAGCAGUGGGGAAUAUUGGACAAUGGGCGCAAGCCUGAUCCAGCCAUGCCGCGUGAGUGAUGACGGCCCUAGGGUUGUAAAGCUCUUUCACCCACGACGAUAAUGACGGUAGUGGGAGAAGAAGCCCCGGCUUCGUGCCAGCAGCCGCGGUAAUAC
rnacentral:rRNA from 1 species